rnacentral:rRNA from 1 species
CAGAAACUACAAAGGAAGUUGACGGGGGCCCGGCACAAGCGGUGGAGUAUGUGGUUUAAUUCGAUGCAACGCGAAGAACCUUACCUGGUCUUGACAUCCCGGAGACCCUUAGGAAACUAGGGGGUGCUUCCAUCUGGAAGAAUCUGGAGACAGGUGCUGCAUGGCUGUCGUUAGCUCGUGUCGUGAGAUGUUGGGUUAAGUCCCGCAACGAGCGCAACCCUUGCCUUUAGUUGCCAGCAGUUCGGCUGGGCACUCUAAAGGGACUGCCGGUGUUAAACCGGAGGAAGGUGGGGAUGACGUCAAGUCCUCAUGGCCUUUAUGACCAGGGCUACACACGUACUACAAUGGCCGAUACAAAGGGCAGCGACACUGCGAGGUGAAGCCAAUCCCGUAAAAUCGGUCUCAGUCCGGAUUGGAGUCUGCAACUCGACUCCAUGAAGUUGGAAUCGCUAGUAAUCGUGGAUCAGCAUGCCACGGUGAAUACGUUCCCGGGCCUU